CAACACCGAUGGGGCACAAUGCUACGCUUUAGCUGGUUGAAUCCGGGCCAAAUUGUACGAGAGUUGAAGACAUUUGGUCCCCUUCAACCAGCUGUAGUUGGCAUUCUGAGCAUCCGUCCGUCGUC
rnacentral:pre_miRNA from 12 species